rnacentral:snRNA from 1 species
GGAUGUGAGGGCCAUCUGGCUAUGACAUGUCACCCCAUUGAUUGCGCCAGGGUUGAUUUGGCUGGUCUGACUGACUAGGCGGGUGUCCCCUUUCUCCUUCACUGCUCUUCAUGAGUAUAUAUAUAUAUAUAUAUAUAUAUAUAUAUAUAUAUAUAUAUAUAUAUAUAUAUAUAUAUAUAU